ACCACCCUGUCAGCUUUGAGAGAGCCGUUAUGCUCUGCUACCCAUCAAGGCAGAGAAUGAUUAAGUCUUGAUUCCUGGUGCCAAAGACUUCAGAUAAAAAAGCGAACCAUUCAUUUCCAGCCAUGAUAGCACUUAGCAAAGCAAGUGAGGGAACCAAUAGUAAAGUAUACUUGGCUACUGAAGUUUUUUGUGAAUUGCUUGGAAGUAAGAUUCCUUUCUACUGUAAUGUAAAAAAAUCCAUUACAUGGAGGCACCAAUAGAUAUGUAUUCAUCUGAGGUUUGCAGGGCUUCAUGAAGAAGGAAGGAAUACUUAAUUUGGAUGACAAAUCAUUCCACAAACAUUAUAAAUCCUCCCAGUAGUAAAUAUUUCAGAUUUCAAGAGCCAAUUAGAAAGUGCAUGAGAUCAUCCCACCCAAGACACAGAAUUUGGGAUGGUAUGAAGAAGCAAGGAUGCCUACAAAUCAGACUCAUGUAUGCAAAGAAAGCACAACUGACAAGAUGAUGAAAAACAUGCCUGCCAUGUAAAUAUUUUCUGAUUACUAAAUGGGAACCUUGUUUCUACACCUACAAUAAACAGACAACCAGAUCCACCUAUGACAGGUUUAA